rnacentral:rRNA from 1 species
UGGGGAAUAUUGCACAAUGGGGGGAACCCUGAUGCAGCGACGCCGCGUGAGUGAAGAAGUGUUUCGGCACGUAAAGCUCUAUCAGCAGGGAAGAAGAAAGACGGUACCUGAGUAAGAAGCCCCGGCUAACUACGUGCCAGCAGCCGCGGUAAUACGUAGGGGGCAAGCGUUAUCCGGAAUUACUGGGUGUAAAGGGAGCGUAGACGGCGAGGCAAGUCCGGAGUGGAAUCCUGUGGCUCAACCAUAGGACUGCUCUGGAAACUGUAUUGCUAGAGUGCAGGAGGGGUAAGCGGAAUUCCUGGUGUAGCGGUGAAAUGCGUAGAUAUCAGGAGGAACACCGGUGGCGAAGGCGGCUUACUGGACUGUAACUGACGUUGAGGCUCGAAAGCGUGGGGAGCAAACAGG